UUGGUGACCAGCGGAGGGAUCAUUACCGAGUUUACAACUCCCAAACCCAAUGUGAACCAUACCAAACUGUUGCCUCGGCGGGGUCACGCCCCGGGUGCGUCGCAGCCCCGGAACCAGGCGCCCGCCGGAGGGACCAACCAAACUCUUUACUGUAGUCCCCUCGCGGACGUUAUUUCUUACAGCUCUGAGCAAAAAAUUCAAAAUGAAUCAAAACUUUCAACAACGGAUCUCUUGGUUCUGGCAUCGAUGAAGAACGCAGCGAAAUGCGAUAAGUAAUGUGAAUUGCAGAAUUCAGUGAAUCAUCGAAUCUUUGAACGCACAUUGCGCCCGCCAGUAUUCUGGCGGGCAUGCCUGUCCGAGCGUCAUUUCAACCCUCGAACCCCUCCGGGGGGUCGGCGUUGGGGAUCGGGAACCCCUCAGACGGGAUCCCGGCCCCGAAAUACAGUGGCGGUCUCGCCGCAGCCUCUCCUGCGCAGUAGUUUGCACAACUCGCACCGGGAGCGCGGCGCGUCCACGUCCGUAAAACACCCAACUUUCUGAAAUGUUGACCUCGGAUCAGGUAGGAAUACCCGCUGAACUUAAGCAUAUCAAUAAGCGGGAGGAA
rnacentral:rRNA from 1 species